rnacentral:pre_miRNA from 1 species
ACACAGUUGAGGGGAAUGCUGUCUGGUUCGAGACCAUUCACCUGAAGCGCACGCAUUCAUCUUUUGAGUGAUCUCGGACCAGGCUUCAUUCCCCCCAACUCAA